CAAUAGAUCACAGUUCGUGUGCAUUAAUGUUUCUAUUUGUCAAUGUUAGACAUUAUGAAGAAAAUAAUCUUCUUGAAGUGGAAAGGAAAGCAUUUUAAGCGUCUCCAUCAUCAGGGUUCAGAGGAGGGGCUCCAGGAUGUCACAAACCCCCCAUUUCCAUCUCAUCCUGCUGUUCAACAGCCAACUUCAACUGAAAGUCUGGAGGAUGUUGUGUUUGUUGAUGAGCAGAUGUGUGCCUGGAAAAAGCCGGAGUAUGUUCAGCCGUAAGAACCUGGACACGCCCCCUUCCCGUUUUUUUUGUAAAAUUAUCUACUUAAUGUUGAUGUGUUAUUGAUUCUUCUUAAAAUAUGGAUGUUCUGCUU
rnacentral:lncRNA from 1 species